CAGCCCCGGGCCGGCCCACGCCAGGCCGCCGAGCUGCCUCCCACCGCAGCCCCGAGCGCUGCCGCCGCCGCCGGGAGACGCCAGCGCCGGGGCUGGGCGGGCGGGCCGAGCCGAGCGGUUGCCAGCCCGCCUCACGCCAAGUUUGAUCGAUAACCCCCUCCCGGCCCGGGCGGAGCAGCCUCGCCGGCUCCGCUACCCACCAUCUUUGGGGGAAGUCCCUGCGCUGGGGGGGGGCUGCUGGAGACGGGGGGAGAGAGGCAAGCUCGCAGCCAGUGAGCCCUCCCAGGCUGGGGUGAAGACAAGAGGAGAGGGAUUUGGGGAAGAAAAAAGAAAAAAAAAAAAAGGAAGAAAGGAGGGGAACCAUCCCUGCCACUACCUCCGCCAGCAUCGCCACCACCAUUGACACUACUCCGAGUCUCCAGUUGCGCCCAUGCCUGUGCCGCCAGUUUCGUUUUAGGGGCUGAACUGCAGGGGCUGAAGAAAAUGGGGCAGAACGCACCCCGGACCCUCCUGCUGCUGCUGGCGGGGCUGCUGGGGGAGGCUCUGGCGGGGUUCCCCAACACCAUCAGUAUAGGUGGACUUUUCAUGAGGAACACUGUUCAGGAGCACAGUGCAUUUCGAUUUGCUGUGCAGUUAUACAACACAAACCAAAAUACCACAGAAAAGCCCUUCCAUUUGAACUAUCACGUAGAUCACUUGGACUCUUCCAACAGUUUUUCAGUGACAAAUGCUUUCUGUUCACAGUUUUCCAGAGGAGUUUAUGCCAUCUUUGGAUUCUAUGACCAGAUGUCAAUGAACACGCUGACGUCAUUUUGUGGAGCCCUUCACACAUCCUUCGUCACACCCAGCUUCCCAACAGAUGCCGAUGUGCAGUUUGUCAUCCAGAUGCGGCCAGCAUUAAAAGGAGCCAUCUUGAGUCUCUUGGCUCAUUAUAAGUGGGAAAAGUUUGUGUACCUCUAUGACACUGAACGGGGAUUUUCCAUUCUUCAGGCAAUUAUGGAAGCAGCAGUACAGAACAACUGGCAAGUGACAGCCAGAUCUGUAGGAAGCAUAAAGGAUGUUCAAGAGUUCAGAAGAAUUAUAGAGGAGAUGGACAGGCGGCAAGAAAAAAGAUACUUAAUUGACUGUGAAGUAGAGAGAAUCAACACCAUUUUGGAACAGGUUGUAAUCCUCGGCAAACAUUCUAGAGGCUAUCAUUACAUGUUAGCUAACCUGGGGUUCACAGACAUUGUUCUGGAGAGAGUAAUGCAUGGAGGUGCCAACAUUACUGGAUUCCAGAUUGUUAAUAAUGAAAACCCAAUGGUUCAACAGUUUCUGCAACGCUGGGUGAGGCUUGAUGAAAGAGAAUUCCCUGAAGCCAAAAACUCGCCAUUAAAGUAUACGUCUGCACUGACCCAUGAUGCAGUCCUUGUCAUAGCAGAGGCUUUCCGUUACCUCCGAAGACAACGUGUGGAUGUCUCCAGGAGAGGCAGUGCUGGAGACUGCCUGGCUAACCCUGCAGUACCGUGGAGCCAAGGAAUUGAUAUAGAAAGAGCUCUGAAAAUGGUGCAAGUUCAAGGAAUGACAGGGAACAUCCAGUUCGACACCUACGGGCGGAGAACAAAUUACACAAUUGAUGUGUAUGAAAUGAAAGCCGCUGGGUCACGGAAGGCUGGUUAUUGGAAUGAGUAUGAAAGAUUUGUGCCAGCAUUGGAUCAGCUGCCCUCUAAUGACACUUCAUCUGUGGAGAACAGAACUAUAGUAGUCACUACCAUCUUGGAAUCACCAUAUGUAAUGUAUAAGAAAAACCAUGAACAACUAGAAGGGAAUGAGAGAUAUGAAGGAUAUUGUGUAGACUUAGCUUCUGAAAUAGCAAAACAUGUUGGAAUAAAAUACAAACUGUCAAUUGUUGGAGAUGGGAAAUAUGGAGCUAGGGACCCUGAGACUAAGAUAUGGAAUGGCAUGGUGGGUGAACUGGUCUAUGGGAGAGCAGAUAUAGCUGUUGCUCCCCUCACCAUAACAUUGGUGCGAGAAGAAGUCAUAGACUUUUCCAAACCCUUUAUGAGCCUGGGCAUCUCCAUCAUGAUCAAGAAGCCUCAGAAAUCUAAACCAGGCGUAUUCUCUUUCCUGGAUCCUUUGGCUUAUGAAAUUUGGAUGUGUAUAGUCUUUGCUUACAUUGGCGUCAGCGUAGUUCUUUUCCUAGUCAGCAGAUUCAGCCCUUACGAGUGGCAUUUGGAAGACAGCACUGAAGAACCACGUGACCCUCAGAAUCCUCCCGACCCUCCAAAUGAGUUUGGAAUAUUUAACAGCCUUUGGUUUUCCCUGGGUGCCUUUAUGCAGCAAGGAUGCGAUAUUUCUCCAAGAUCUCUCUCAGGGCGAAUUGUUGGAGGAGUCUGGUGGUUCUUCACUCUCAUCAUUAUCUCUUCCUACACUGCUAAUCUUGCUGCCUUCCUAACGGUGGAGAGGAUGGUUUCUCCCAUAGAGAGCGCAGAGGACCUGGCUAAACAAACCGAAAUAGCUUAUGGCACUUUGGAUUCAGGCUCAACCAAAGAAUUCUUUAGAAGGUCAAAAAUAGCCGUCUACGAGAAAAUGUGGUCGUACAUGAAGUCGGCCGAGCCCUCGGUGUUCACCAAAACGACGGCGGACGGGGUGGCACGGGUGCGGAAGUCGAAGGGCAAGUUCGCCUUCCUGCUGGAGUCGACGAUGAACGAGUACAUCGAGCAGCGCAAGCCCUGCGACACCAUGAAAGUCGGCGGCAACCUGGAUUCCAAGGGCUAUGGUGUAGCAACCCCCAAAGGCUCAGCAUUAAGAAAUGCUGUUAACCUGGCAGUAUUAAAACUGAAUGAGCAAGGCCUCUUGGACAAAUUGAAAAACAAAUGGUGGUACGACAAAGGAGAGUGCGGCAGCGGGGGAGGUGACUCCAAGAACUCCUGUAAACCUUGCAGUAUUGAAACUCAGUGAACAAGGCAUCUUAGACAAGCUGAAAAACAAAUGGUGGUACGAUAAGGGUGAAUGUGGAGCCAAGGACUCCGGAAGUAAGGACAAGACGAGCGCUCUGAGCCUCAGCAAUGUUGCCGGGGUGUUCUACAUCCUGGUCGGGGGCCUGGGCCUGGCCAUGAUGGUGGCGCUGAUCGAGUUCUGCUACAAGUCUCGGGCCGAGUCCAAGCGCAUGAAACUCACCAAGAACACGCAGAACUUCAAACCCGCUCCCGCCACCAACACCCAGAAUUACGCGACGUACAGAGAAGGCUACAACGUGUACGGCACAGAAAGUGUGAAAAUCUAGGGAUCCUCACCCUGACAGCACGCAAGAGGAGGAGCAGCAGAGAAUGCGGCUACUUCACAGAUUCGGACCACCUGAGCCAGUUGUACUCUCUCCGAGGUGUCAGGCAUGACACGAGUUGAUGAUGGUGCAAUGUACUUUUAAUAGGAAAAACUGAUAUUUUUUUUCCUUCAGUGCCUUAUGGAAGACUCUGAGACUCACAACAAUGCAAACCAUCACUGAAAUAUUCUUGCUUUGCCUGAAAGAAGAAAAAGAAGAUAAAAGAAAAGAAAAUAAAAUAAUAAUAAAAAAAAAAGAAAAUAAAUAGAAAAUAAGAGAAAGAAAAUGGAAAGGAAAGGAAAGGAAAGGAAAGGAAAGGAAAGGAAAGGAAAGGAAAGGAAAGGAAAGGAAAGGAAAGGAAAGGAAAGGAAAGGAAAGGAAAGGAAGAAGGAAAGGAAAGGAAAGGAAAGGAAAAAGGAAAGAAAGAAAAGAGAAAAGUAAAGAAAGAAAAGAGAAAAGGAGAAGUAGUAGUACUGGUAAUGACAUAUUAGUAUGGGGGAAAAAAAGAAUCUUGUAAAAACAAAAAUCAGUGCAACAAAAGCCAUUCUUUGAUACCACUGCACAGUAAAUGAACUUGUGUCCUGGAAGCAAACCGCAGCCGGUUUCAUCAGCCACCCGAUCGUAUUGAAUUACGAAACUCCUCCUGACACAAAGCCUCAGAAUCUGCUGCGUGCGAACACAGACUGGCCUGUCACUGCUUGUCUGAGCUGAUGUCAAGAUGUUUCAGUAUUUACUUACCAGUGGUGUGAUUUAUUUUUUUCUGAGCCAUUUUAAACACUCCAGCUAACUUGAGCAGUUCUGUAUAGCAGUAAAAGCUGUAACACCUGACGAAAAGAAUCUGUGCGUUAAAACCAGCUAAGGUCAAUGACUCUGAACCUGUAAAUCCAACAGAAAGUAAUUUGUGGAACUGCAUGUCUUGCUUCCAGAUCAGUAAAUUAACAUAUUGGGAAGGUAGCUAAAGUGCGGGCAGAAAAUAUUGCAUUCCAUAGUUUUUUUUCUCCUAUCAUCAGGCAUACCUACAGGUGCUUUGUUAAAAUGGCAAUGGGUGGCUUUAUAAAAAAAAAAUUAAAAAGCUACUUGCUGUUUAGGUUCAGACCAUAUAUCUCUUUUCUUGCUGUGCAUUUGCUUUCUAAUUCACUGUUCAGUAUCAAGCAACAAAGCAAGAGAAGCGCAGGUUAGUUUUUCCCAGGCCUGACUCCGCUUCGCCCCAGUCCCCUCCCAGCUAGCACUGUGCUCCGCUGAUGCUUCUCGGCCGUUUUAAAACAGAUGUGAGGAGAGAGGAUAGUAACUCAAAUUAGAGCUGCAGUUCCAGAGUAAUAUUAAGCGAUCUAACGUGGCUCCUGCUAGUACUGUUCUAUUAUAUCAGCUCUUGUUUCGCGGCUCCCGGGGAGAGGAUGCUCCUGUGUGCCGCGGGCUGGAGUCGCCAGUACUCACAUCCAGCCUCCCAGCAGCAGCCUCCAACCUCUGCCUGGAAACUACUUAACUUCAUUUAAAAAUAAAAUUAAAAUAAAAAAUAAAAAAAAAACAAGUAAAAGACAAAAUAAAACCGUCAAACAUAUUGUCAACCACAGGGGAAAUGUUCAAUGGAAUAUCUGCAUACUAAUUACCUCUAAUCGACAAUAUGUAUUUUCUGUAGUUUACUGUAGAGUUUUAUUUCAUCAGUAACAUACAAUGAGAAAGAAACUCAUUUAAACCAGUCUGACCCUUAGGCGUUUAGUUUGCUGAUGAUAGAUUUGAACUUUUAAUAGGAUUAAAAAAAAAAAAAAAAAAGGAUUACACGAGGAAAGUCUUGUUAAAAAUAAGUAUUUCCAACAAAAUGUAAUAUAAAAUCAUUUUAAAAGUUCAUAGGAGAAUAAUUUAUUGUUCGAGUUUUUAACAAGAUAUUGACAAGGUAUUGUUUUCAUUUUCUGUUCAUGAAACUGUGAUUUCUUUUCCAACUUCUGAACGCAGCCCCGUCCCCAGCGCGGGUGAGCGAGCGCCAGCUGGGCGCUUAGGAGUUGUAUUUAAACAAACAUUUUUCUUAAAAGCUGUACAAAAGAUGUAUGUUUAUCAAAUCCAUUUUUAAGAGUGGAGGCUUCACACUAGUGAAGGGAGUUUGGUAAAUGGUUCGAUAUUUUUUAAACUUGCAUGUAAAGCUAAAACAAAACGUGUUGAGUGCUUACCAAUUCUGGCUACCAACUUCAAGCUGUUGGAAGUUCGGCAGCAGUCUCACGAUGAUUUGUUUCGGUAUACUCUUUUCAUUUGUUUUGCUUUGGGGGAUUUCAGGGUUCUUUCCUUUGUCUUUUAUUUUUUUUCCUCUUUUUUUGUUUUUUGUUUUUGGUAAUUUAAGUUCCUAUUUUCAGUCGUUGAAACUGCACUUCAGUGAGCAGAAAAAAACGCCAAGCAAACUAAUGGCUGUAAAAGCAUAAACUGCAUGUGUGGGCAUCAAUUACUGAGCCUCAUUUUAAUGAGGUGUUGUACAAAGAGUUUUAAUACAUUUUGUAAAUAAAACUGUAAAGAAAAAAAAA